CAGUAGCCGCGGGAAUACGUAGGGUGCAAGCGUUAAUCGGAAUUACUGGGCGUAAAGCGUGCGCAGGCGGUUAUAUAAGACAGAUGUGAAAUCCCCGGGCUCAACCUGGGAACUGCAUUUUUGACUGUAUAGCUAGAGUACGGCAGAGGGGGAUGGAAUUCCGCGUGUAGCAGUGAAAUGCGUAGAUAUGCGGAGGAACACCGAUGGCGAAGGCAAUCCCCUGGGCCUGUACUGACGCUCAUGCACGAAAGCGUGGGGAGCAAACAGGAUUAGAUACCCCAGUAGUCCCUGUCUCUUAUAC
rnacentral:rRNA from 1 species